AAAUGAUGAAGAGUCUAGGGUUUUACCAUGAGAGUAAAUGUGUUGUUUGCUGUGUUUUUAUGGAAGAUUAUGAGUCCUAGUUGUCUAAUAAACAACUUUUGUGAAAGAAAUUGCAUGAAAAUACCUUAAAAAGGGGUAAAUUGCUAAGUUGUAAAAUGAGUUGUAAAUGUGUAAAAUAGUUGAAAUUAUGAGUUGCUAUAGUUAUGAAAAUGGUUCAUCUAGACUCAAGGAGUAAAGAAAUGUGAUAAAAAUUAAUUUACGAGCAUUGGGGCAAAAGUGCAAAUAUGCAAAAGUUUAGGGGUCAAAAUGAAAAUUUGUAAAAAUAUGAUUUUUAGACCCAUAUGAAUAUUGUGACUGAUUGGUAGGCUAAAUGUGAUGUUAUAGAUGAUGAAAAUUGAGA
rnacentral:lncRNA from 1 species